rnacentral:rRNA from 1 species
GACGAACGCUGGCGGCGUGCUUAACACAUGAAAGUCGAACGAUCAAGCCGGAGCUUGCUCUGGUGAAUUAGUGGCGAACGGGUGAGUAACACGUGAGUAACCAGCCCUUGACUCUGGGAUAACUGCGGGUAACUGUCCCGAAAACCGGAUACGCCCCUCGGAUGCAUCUCCUGGGGGUGGAAAGAAUUUCGGUAAAGGAUGGACGUGCGGCCUAUCAGCUAGUUGGUGAGGUGAAGGCUCACCAAGGCGACGACGGUUAGCCGGCCUGAGAGGGUGACCGGCCACACUGGGACUGAGACACGGGCCAGACUCCUACGGGAGGCAGCAGUGGGGAAUAUUGCACAAUGGGCGCAAGCCUGAUGCAGCAACGCCGCGUGAGGGAUGACGGCCUUCAGGUUGUAAACCACUUUUAGCAGGGAAGAAACGAAAGUGACGGUACCUGCAGAAAAAGCACCGGCUAACUACGUGCCAGCCGCCGCCGUAA